rnacentral:rRNA from 1 species
UGGGGAAUUUUGGACAAUGGGCGCAAGCCUGAUCCAGCCAUGCCGCGUGCUGGAUGAAGUCCUUCGGGUCGUAAACUGCUUUUGUACGUAACGAAAAGACUCUGGUUAAUACCUGGGGUCCAUGACGGUACCGUAAGAAUAAGCACCGGCUAACUACGUGCCAGCAUCCGCGGUAAUACGUAGGGUGCGCGCGUUAAUCGGAAUUACUGGGCGUAAAGCGUGCGCAGGCGGUUAUAUAAGACAGAUGUGAAAUCCCCGGGCUCAACCUGGGACAUGCAUUUGAGACUGUAUAGCUAGAGUACGGUAGAGGGGGAUGGAAUUCCGCGUGUAGCAGUGAAAUGCGUAGAUAUGCGGCGGAACACCGAUGGCGAAAGCAAUCCCCUGGGCCUGUAAUGACGCUCAUGCAAGAAAGAGAGGGGAGCAAAAA